GGUUAGCUCAGUUGGUUAGAACAUGGUGCUGAUAAUGCCAUGGUUGCAUGUUCGAUCCCUGUGUGGAACA